rnacentral:rRNA from 1 species
UUUAAAGUCUAAUCUGCCCUAUGAGGAUUUAAAUGGCCGCGGUAUUUUGACCGUGCAAAGGUAGCAUAAUAAUUAGUUUUUUAAUUGGAAGCUAGAAUGAAUGAUUGAACGAGAAAGUUACUGUCUCAGACUAAUUUUAUUAGAAUUUUAUUUUUAAGUAAAAAAGCUUAAAUUUUAUUAAAAGACGAGAAGACCCUAUAGAGUUUUAUAUAAAUAUUUUUAUUGAUUUUGAGGGAUUUUUUUAUUUAUAUAAAUAGUUAUAUUUUAUUGGGGUGAUAGAAAAAUUUAAUAAACUUUUUUUUUAUGAAUUCAUUGAUUUAUGUUUAAUUGAUCCAUUUUUUAUGAUUACAAGAUUAAAUUACCUUAGGGAUAACAGCGUAAUUUUUUUUUAGAGUUCUUAUCGAAAGAAAAGAUUGCGACCUCGAUGUUGGAUUAAAAUUAAUUAUAGGUGUAGAAGCUUAUUGAUUAGGUCUGUUCGACCUUUAAAAUUUUACA